GUGGAUGUAUUCCACCUCUACUUUCAGUUUUGAAGUCGGAUUCCACUGAAGCAAGGAAGGCAGCUGCAGAAGCAAUUUUUCAGGUGUCAUCUAAUGGCCUCUCAGAUGAUCCUAUUGGCACUAAAAUAUUUGUUACAGAGGGUGUAGUACCAACUUUGUGGGAGCAGCUUAACCCAAAGCAGAAGCAGGAUAAAACAGUAGAGGG
rnacentral:misc_RNA from 1 species